rnacentral:rRNA from 1 species
GGUUAAGCGACUAAGCGUACACGGUGGAUGCCCUGGCAGUCAGAGGCGAUGAAGGACGUGCUAAUCUGCGAAAAGCGUCGGUAAGGUGAUAUGAACCGUUAUAACCGGCGAUGUCCGAAUGGGGAAACCCAGUGUGAUUCGUCACACUAUCGUUAACUGAAUACAUAGGUUAACGAGGCGAACCGGGGGAACUGAAACAUCUAAGUACCCCGAGGAAAAGAAAUCAACCGAGAUUCCCCCAGUAGCGGCGAGCGAACGGGGAGCAGCCCAGAGUCUGAAUCAGCUUGUGUGUUAGUGGAACGGUCUGGAAAGUCCGACGGUACAGGGUGAUAGUCCCGUACACCAAAAUGCACAGGCUGUGAACUCGAAGAGUAGGGCGGGACACGUGGUAUCCUGUCUGAAUAUGGGGGGACCAUCCUCCAAGGCUAAAUACUCCUGACUGACCGAUAGUGAACCAGUACCGUGAGGGAAAGGCGAAAAGAACCCCGGCGAGGGGAGUGAAAAAGAACCUGAAACCGUGUACGUACAAGCAGUGGGAGCACCUUCGGGUGUGACUGCGUACCUUUUGUAUAAUGGGUCAGCGACUUAUAUUCUGUAGCAAGGUUAACCGUAUAGGGGAGCCGCAGGGAAACCGAGUCUUAACUGGGCGUUAAGUUGCAGGGUAUAGACCCGAAACCCGGUGAUCUAGCCAUGGGCAGGUUGAAGGUUGGGUAACACUAACUGGAGGACCGAACCGACUAAUGUUGAAAAAUUAGCGGAUGACUUGUGGCUGGGGGUGAAAGGCCAAUCAAACCGGGAGAUAGCUGGUUCUCCCCGAAAGCUAUUUAGGUAGCGCCUCGUGAAUUCAUCUUCGGGGGUAGAGCACUGUUUCGGCUAGGGGGUCAUCCCGACUUACCAACCCGAUGCAAACUACGAAUACCGAAGAAUGUUAUCACGGGAGACACACGGCGGGUGCUAACGUCCGUCGUGAAGAGGGAAACAACCCAGACCGCCAGCUAAGGUCCCAAAGUCAUGGUUAAGUGGGAAACGAUGUGGGAAGGCACAGACAGCCAGGAUGUUGGCUUAGAAGCAGCCAUCAUUUAAAGAAAGCGUAAUAGCUCACUGGUCGAGUCGGCCUGCGCGGAAGAUGUAACGGGGCUAAACCAUGCACCGAAGCUGCGGCAGCGACACUAUGUGUUGUUGGGUAGGGGAGCGUUCUGUAAGCCUGCGAAGGUGUGCUGUGAGGCAUGCUGGAGGUAUCAGAAGUGCGAAUGCUGACAUAAGUAACGAUAAAGCGGGUGAAAAGCCCGCUCGCCGGAAGACCAAGGGUUCCUGUCCAACGUUAAUCGGGGCAGGGUGAGUCGACCCCUAAGGCGAGGCCGAAAGGCGUAGUCGAUGGGAAACAGGUUAAUAUUCCUGUACUUGGUGUUACUGCGAAGGGGGGACGGAGAAGGCUAUGUUAGCCGGGCGACGGUUGUCCCGGUUUAAGCAUGUAGGCUGAUUGUCCAGGCAAAUCCGGAUAAUCAAGGCUGAGGUGUGAUGACGAGGCACUACGGUGCUGAAGUAACAAAUGCCCUGCUUCCAGGAAAAGCCUCUAAGCAUCAGGUAACAUCAAAUCGUACCCCAAACCGACACAGGUGGUCAGGUAGAGAAUACCAAGGCGCUUGAGAGAACUCGGGUGAAGGAACUAGGCAAAAUGGUGCCGUAACUUCGGGAGAAGGCACGCUGGUGUGUAGGUGAAGUCCCUGCGGAUGGAGCUGAGACCAGUCGAAGAUACCAGCUGGCUGCAACUGUUUAUUAAAAACACAGCACUGUGCAAACACGAAAGUGGACGUAUACGGUGUGACGCCUGCCCGGUGCCGGAAGGUUAAUUGAUGGGGUUAUCCGUAAGGAGAAGCUCUUGAUCGAAGCCCCGGUAAACGGCGGCCGUAACUAUAACGGUCCUAAGGUAGCGAAAUUCCUUGUCGGGUAAGUUCCGACCUGCACGAAUGGCGUAAUGAUGGCCAGGCUGUCUCCACCCGAGACUCAGUGAAAUUGAACUCGCUGUGAAGAUGCAGUGUACCCGCGGCAAGACGGAAAGACCCCGUGAACCUUUACUAUAGCUUGACACUGAACAUUGAGCCUUGAUGUGUAGGAUAGGUGGGAGGCUUUGAAGCGUGGACGCCAGUCUGCGUGGAGCCAACCUUGAAAUACCACCCUUUAAUGUUUGAUGUUCUAACGUUGGCCCCUGACCGGGGUUGCGGACAGUGUCUGGUGGGUAGUUUGACUGGGGCGGUCUCCUCCCAAAGCGUAACGGAGGAGCACGAAGGUUAGCUAAUCCUGGUCGGACAUCAGGAGGUUAGUGCAAUGGCAUAAGCUAGCUUGACUGCGAGCGUGACGGCGCGAGCAGGUGCGAAAGCAGGUCAUAGUGAUCCGGUGGUUCUGAAUGGAAGGGCCAUCGCUCAACGGAUAAAAGGUACUCCGGGGAUAACAGGCUGAUACCGCCCAAGAGUUCAUAUCGACGGCGGUGUUUGGCACCUCGAUGUCGGCUCAUCACAUCCUGGGGCUGAAGUAGGUCCCAAGGGUAUGGCUGUUCGCCAUUUAAAGUGGUACGCGAGCUGGGUUUAGAACGUCGUGAGACAGUUCGGUCCCUAUCUGCCGUGGGCGCUGGAGAAUUGAGGGGGGCUGCUCCUAGUACGAGAGGACCGGAGUGGACGCAUCACUGGUGUUCGGGUUGUCAUGCCAAUGGCACUGCCCGGUAGCUAAAUGCGGAAGAGAUAAGUGCUGAAAGCAUCUAAGCACGAAACUUGCCCCGAGAUGAGUUCUCCCUGAGACUUUAAGUCUCCUGAAGGAACGUUAAAGACGAUGACGUUGAUAGGCCGGGUGUGUAAGCGCAGCGAUGCGUUGAGCUAACCGGUACUAAUGAACCGUGAGGCUUAACCUU